rnacentral:rRNA from 1 species
UGGUAGUNCACGCCCUAAACGAUGUCGAUUAGCUGUUGGGCAGCAUGGCUGCUUAGUAGCGAAGCUAACGCGUGAAAUCGACCGCUGGGGAGUACGGUCGCAAGAUUAAAACUCAAAGGAAUUGACGGGGACCCGCACAAGCGGUGGAUGAUGUGGAUUAAUUCGAUGCAACGCGAAGAACCUUACCUGGUCUUGACAUGUGCGGAACCCUCCAGAGACGGAGGGGUGCCUUCGGGGGCCGUAACACAGGUGCUGCAUGGCUGUCGUCAGCUCGUGUCGUGAGAUGUUGGGUUAAGUCCCGCAACGAGCGCAACCCUUGUCAUUAGUUGCCAUCAUUAAGUUGGGCACUCUAAUGAGACUGCCGGUGACAAGCCGGAGGAAGGUGGGGAUGACGUCAAGUCCUCAUGGCCCUUAUGACCAGGGCUUCACACGUCAUACAAUGGUCGGUACAGAGGGUAGCCAAGCCGCGAGGUGGAGCCAAUCUCACGAAACCGAUCGUAGUCCGGAUUGCACUCUGCAACUCGAGUGCAUGAAGUCGGAAUCGCUAGUAAUCGCAGGUCAGCAUACUGCGGUGAAUACGUUCCCGGGUCUUGUACACACCGCCCGUCACACCAUGGGAGUGGGGGAUACCAGAAGUA